GACGUAGGAUGCAAGCGUUGUCCGGAUUUAUUGGGCGUAAAGAGUUCGUAGGUGGUUCGUUAAGUCUGAUGUUAAAGACUGGGGCUCAACCCUGGGAGUGCAUUGGAUACUGGCGGACUGGAGUGCAGUAGAGGCAAGCGGAAUUCCCAGUGUAGCGGUGAAAUGCGUAGAGAUCGGGAGGAAUACCAGUGGCGAAGGCGGCCUGCUGGGCCACGACCGACACUGAGGUGCGAAAGCGUGGGGAGCGAACCGG
rnacentral:rRNA from 1 species